rnacentral:rRNA from 1 species
GCGGACGGGUGAGUAAUGCUUAGGAAUCUGCCAUUUAGUGGGGGACAACAUUCCGAAAGGAAUGCUAAUACCGCAUACGUCCUACGGGAGAAAGCAGGGGAUCUUCGGACCUUGCGCUAAAUGAUGAGCCUAAGUCGGAUUAGCUAGUUGGUGGGGUAAAGGCCUACCAAGGCGACGAUCUGUAGCGGGUCUGAGAGGAUGAUCCGCCACACUGGGACUGAGACACGGCCCAGACUCCUACGGGAGGCAGCAGUGGGGAAUAUUGGACAAUGGGCGCAAGCCUGAUCCAGCCAUGCCGCGUGUGUGAAGAAGGCCUUUUGGUUGUAAAGCACUUUAAGCGAGGAGGAGGCUCUCUUAGUUAAUACCUAAGAUGAGUGGACGUUACUCGCAGAAUAAGCACCGGCUAACUCUGUGCCAGCAGCCGCGGUAAUACAGAGGGUGCGAGCGUUAAUCGGAUUUACUGGGCGUAAAGCGUGCGUAGGCGGCUUUUUAAGUCGGAUGUGAAAUCCCCGAGCUUAACUUGGGAAUUGCAUUCGAUACUGGGAAGCUAGAGUAUGGGAGAGGAUGGUAGAAUUCCAGGUGUAGCGGUGAAAUGCGUAGAGAUCUGGAGGAAUACCGAUGGCGAAGGCAGCCAUCUGGCCUAAUACUGACGCUGAGGUACGAAAGCAUGGGGAGCAAACAGGAUUAGAUACCCUGGUAGUCCAUGCCGUAAACGAUGUCUAC